rnacentral:rRNA from 1 species
CCUACGGGGCGCAGCAGUGGGGAAUAUUGGACAAUGGGCGAAAGCCUGAUCCAGCCAUGCCGCGUGUGUGAAGAAGGCCUUCGGGUUGUAAAGCACUUUCAGUGGGGAAGAAAGCCUUGGGGCUAAUACCCUCGAGGAAGGACAUCACCCACAGAAGAAGCACCGGCUAACUCCGUGCCAGCAGCCGCGGUAAUACGGAGGGUGCGAGCGUUAAUCGGAAUUACUGGGCGUAAAGCGCGCGUAGGCGGUCUGAUAAGCCGGUUGUGAAAGCCCCGGGCUCAACCUGGGAACGGCAUCCGGAACUGUCAGGCUAGAGUGCAGGAGAGGAAGGUAGAAUUCCCGGUGUAGCGGUGAAAUGCGUAGAGAUCGGGAGGAAUACCAGUGGCGAAGGCGGCCUUCUGGACUGACACUGACGCUGAGGUGCGAAAGCGUGGGCAGCAAACAGGAUUAGAUACCCUAGUAGUC